rnacentral:rRNA from 2 species
CCUAAGUAUAGACGAUUAUAUCGUGAAACCGCGAACGGCUCAUUAAAUCAGCUAUGAUCUACGGGAUCUUAAUGAGUUUUACAUGGAUAACUGUGGUAAUUCUAGAGCUAAUACUUGCUGACUAUGCUCCAACCUUUUGGAAGGAGUGCAUUUAUUAGAAGCAAAACCAGAGGCUUCGUGCCUAGUUAUGCUGAUUCAAAGUAACCCAGUUGAUCGCAUGGUCUUGUACCGGCGACAUAUCCAAUGAGUAUCUGCUUUAUCAACUGUCGAUGGUAGUGUAUUUGACUACAAUGGUGUUGACGGGUAACGGAGAAUAAGGGUUCGACUCCGGAGAAGGGGCCUGAGAAAUGGCCACUACGUCUAAGGAUGGCAGCAGGCGCGCAAAUUACCCACUCUCGGUAUGAGGAGGUAGUGAAGAGAAAUAACGAGACCGAUCUCUUUGAGGACGGUUAUCGUAAUGGGUAAAAUUUAAACCCUUUGACGAGUAUCUAUGAGAGGGCAAGUCUGGUGCCAGCAGCCGCGGUAAUUCCAGCUCUCAAAAUGCAUAGAAUCAUUGUUGCGGUUAAAAAGCUCGUAGUUGAAUCUGUGCCGGGUGUUCGGUCGGCUCUCUGAGCUUGCACUGAGAUACUUGGUGUUAGCGCCGGUCUUCUCGUCGUCGCCUUUAUUGGUGGUGGCGUGUGGCUGGUAAUUUUACUUUGAACAAAGCAAAUGGCUCAAACAAGGCGUUUCGCCUGAAUGUUUUUGCAUGGAAUAAUAGAAUAGGACUACGGUCCGGUUUUGUUGGUUUUACUGACCGUUGUAAUGAUUAAAAGGGACAAACGGGGGCAUUCGUAUUGUUGCGCGAGAGGUGAAAUUCUAGGACCGUAACAAGACGACCUACAGCGAAAGCAAUUGCCAAGUUUGUCUUCAUUAAUCAAGAACGAAAGUCAGAGGAUCGAAGGUGAUUAGAUACCGCCCUAGUUCUGACCGUAAACUAUGCCAACUAGCGAUUCGCCGGUGGAUUAUCUGCCUUGGCGAGGAGCUCUCCGGAAACGAAAGUCUUCCGGUUCCGGGGGAAGUAUGGUUGCAAAGCUGAAACUUAAAGGAAUUGACGGAAGGACACCACCAGGAGUGGAGCCUGCGGCUUAAUUUGACUCAACACGGGAAAACUCACCCGGGCCGGACGGUAUAAGGAUUGACAGAUUGAUAGCUCUUUCAUGAUUUGGUGGUUGGUGGUGCAUGGCCGUUCUUAGUUCGUGGAUUGAUUUGUCUGGUUUAUUCCGAUAACGAACGAGACUUAAGCCUACUAAAUAGUUGGCUCAUUCACUCUAUGUGUGAGUGUUAUACUUCCUAGAGGAAUUUUCGGUGUUUAACCGCAUGAAAAUGAGCAAUAACAGGUCUGUGAUGCCCUUAGAUGUCCGGGGCUGCACGCGCGCUACACUGGUGUAGCCAGCGUGUAUAUCCUUUCUCGUUAGAGACUGGGUAAACCAAUCAAAUUACGCCGUGAUUGGGAUUGGAAAUUGCAAUUAUUUUCCGUUAACGAGGAAUUCCAAGUAAAUACGAGUCAUUAACUCGCGUUGAUUACGUCCCUGUCCUUUGUACACACCGCCCGUCGCUGCCCGGGACUGAGCCAUUUCGAGAAAUGUGGGGAUUGCUGGCCGGUGGUCUUUCGGGAUUGCCUUUCGGUGAGAACCAAAUUAAUCGUAGUGGCUUGAACCGGGCAAAAGUCGUAACAAGGUGGCUGUAG